rnacentral:misc_RNA from 1 species
AAAAACCCUCAAGCUCUGCUUGGUGUUGGGCGCCUUGUCCCGCCUCCGGUGCGGACUCGCCUUAAAAGCAUUGGCGGCCUGUGUAUUGGCUUCGAGCGCAGCAGAAACGCGCCUCGCAACCCUCUGGCACGGGCAUCCAUCAAGAUGCACCCCAAA